AUGAAUCUCCCGAUUCGUUAAAAAAGGCAGAAACAAAAAGGAGCCGAGGGAGUAAACACAACAGGAGGGUUUCAAUUUUCACGUCGUUCUUCGCGAGGCUCUGUGGUGGCUCUGCAACCCAGACUCAUUCCGACCCUAGGUGAAUUUUUUUUCCAGAAUUUCCGAAAUUUAACUCUCUUUUGGCGACCGAUAUAUCGGCGCUAGAGCCAACGCCUCAAAAUUCCGAUAUAUCGCCGAAUGUGCCGGUUUCUAAAGGAUAAUCAUGUUCAAUUUUUUGGUUUGAUUUAAAGGAAUUUCUUACACAAAAAAGUUAGGGUUUUCUGGUUAGUUUUUUGGGUUGUACAUCUGGGUAUUUCGUACACACAAAAGUUAGGUUUUUCUGCUUAGUUUUUUGGGUUGUAUAUCUGGGUGGUUUUAUUUUCUUCAAAUUUGUGACUUUUGUGAUUUGAGAUUUGUACAUAAAUUGAAAUUUAGUUUUUCUGAUUUCAACUCUCAUUCGUAUCCUGACAUUUCCUCAUCAUUAAAAUCGGUUUUUUGUGCUGUUCUUUUCCAAGCUCGGUUGCAGAUCCACAAAGGCAUGAAGGUUUGUCAUUUAAGAAUAUAUUAUAAAUGUGUGUAUUGCGUUAUACAUGUGGGAGUGUGAAUAUGUUUUUUUUCCUGGGUUGAUUUAGUUAAUGAGGUUCGUUAUAAUUUCAGAUUAUUUUGGUUCCUGUUAAUCUAAUCGGACGUUAGAAGAGGAGGUGGAUGGUGUUUGAAAAGCGUUGGUUUUUCAAUUUUUUUUUAUUUGUGCCCUUUUAGUUUUUUGAAUGAAAUUUUUAUAAUGUAAAUCAAUCUAAAUUGAAUAGCUUUGUUUGUAUAUUGUAUUUGGUUUAUUAAAUAGAAUGUGAUUUAAUGCUUUGGAAUCUUUAUAAACAUAAUAUCUAUACAAUUUUUAAUCCCACAGCAACGCGGGGCAUAAUUUCUAGUUGCAAACUAAAGUUGCUCUCCAUUGCCGAAACAAGGUUUGUUUUCUCCACUUUUUUUCCUUUCUUUUUUUUCUUAUUCAAUUAUGAGCUGUCCAAAUUUUUAAAUUUUUCAGAUUUGCUUCCAUACUUGUGAAUCUGUGAUGCUUAGAAUAUUUAAGGAAGUAAAGGAAGGUUUACAACAAACGGUGAUUAGCACUAAUUGGGCUUUGUACGAAGAAGAAGAUUUGGUUAAAGCAAUGAUGGUGAAGCAAAAUAUAUUGGAUGAAUAUUUUUGAGAGAAGAUUGAUUAUAUUCUUUUCUUUACUGCUCCAAUAUAUGAGGUUAUUAGAAUGGCUGACAUAGAUAAACCUUAUCUUCACUUGGUGAAUGAGUGGUGGGAUGCUAUAAUUGAAAAGGACUAUCUACAGGAAUGAGCGCAAGGCAUUACAUGAAAAAAACAGCUUUUUUGAUGCAGUGUAUCGCAUUUUAUUGGAGUGAUGGACUAAAAGUAGCACAUCACUUCAUUGUUUGGAGCAUUCAUUAAAUCCAAGGUAUUAUAUUUCAGAAUGGCUCCAAGAAGACCUUAGUCAUCUUGCUCCACACUGAGAUGUUGAGCUUACAACUGAAAGGAAAAAGUGUUUUGAGAGAUACUUUUCCAAUGAAGAAAUUAGAAGAAAUAUCAAUGUGGAGUAUGACGCUUUCUCUAUGUGCUUAAAUGACUUUGGAGCUAUUGAUUCUAUGAAUGAUAGGUUUCAUUUGGAACCAGUGAUGUUGUGGAUUGUCCAUGGAGCUUCUACACCUAGUCUCGAAUCCAUAGCAUUGAAGCUACUUGGACAACCUUGUUCCUCCUCUUGUUGUGAAAGAAAUUGGAGCACUUAUAGUUUUGUUCACUCUCUAAGAAGGAACAAGAUUACACCACAAAGAGCCAAGGAUUUGGUAUUUGUACAUAAUAAUUUUCGUCUUCUAUUAAGGAAUAGCUCAACCUACAAAGAAAGUAUUACUCAAUUGGGGGAUGUUGGAGGAGAUGGCUUUGAAAACUUGGGUGAAGAAAGUGUCGGAAUGCUUGAAAUUGCUAACCUUUCACUUGAUGAGCCGUCAUUGGAGGCUUCUUUGGUUACUGUAGGAGACAUCGUGAAUGUGGAAGUUGAAUGAAACUUUUUUUUUUUUAAUUUUCGUUUGGAUGUUUUUUUUUUUUUAAUUUUUCAAGUUUGAAGACUAAUUGCUUGUUGGAUCUACUAUCUUUCUAACUGUUUGGAGUUUAUUGAAAUAAAUUUGAAAUUGAGUAAUAAA